CAUCAUCUAACAGAAAUACAACAUUAUUCAUAAUGUUUCAUAAUUAUUCACAUAUAGCGUUCGGGCUUCUGUCUGUUCCUUGAGCUUCUUGCCAUCACUUUGCUCCUCGUGCACCUUGUGCUCAUUGCUUCUUCUCUUCUCCUCUUGGUUGUUGGUACCUUGUGCGUCUUCUUCAAACCUAUCAUAGAGCUGUGCAAAACAUAAAGGGUAAUGAGAUCAUGUCAAGUGACCCAUAAAUGUACAGUAGUAUUUGACCCUUGCAAGAUUUACAUACCUAGCAGAACUCACAACAACAGAAGGUUGGUCACCAUUUAGAGCCUCACUUGGAUCAUCAUUUGGAGCCUCACUUGGAUCACUAGGAUCAUCAUUUGGAGCCUCACUUGGAUCACCAAGAUCAUCAUUUGGAGCCUCACUUGGAUCACCAUGAUCAUCAUUUGGAGCCUCACUUGCAUCACCAUGAUCAUCAUUUGGAGCCUCACUUGGAUCACCAUGAUCACUAUUUGGAGCCUCACUUGGAUCACCAUGAUCACUAUUUGGAGCCUCACUUGGAUCAUCGUCAAAAUCAUGCGGCUGUUGACCAUCAUCAUUUCGAACCUCGUCAAAAUCCUCAUCUGAUGCAACCGGCUGAUGUCCAUUAUUUUCAUCGAAGCCUUCAUCAAAACUCUCUCCGAACGCUGGAUCUACUGUGUUAUCACAAUACUUACUGAAAUGACCAGACCCACCACAUCUUGUGCACUUACGCUUCCUCGCUCCAAGUCCAGCUCCUUCGCUGUGAGGUCUGAUUCGACUCUUCCUUGGUCUACCUGCUGCUCUUUUCACAACUGGAGCGCAAAGCUUGAAUCCAGUGUCCACCAUGUCCCAUUGUUGUUUUCCCUCCAUAGCAGGCAAGGCAUAAGCAUAUGUGGCUUUGAACCUUGCAACAGAGUAGUAAUCAUGCACAUACUGCUGAAUGUUCCCUGCUGGACUAGGGAGAGAAGUGAUGAAAAACAAGGCAUGAAUGCAUGGCAACCCAGUUAUCUGCCAUUGCCUACAACUGCAAGUUCUAGCUUCUAAAUCCACUGGAUAUCUCCAUUCCCUCUUCUCUUUAUCCAAAUAUGAUAUCUUUGCUGUGGUACCCGAGCAAAGAGUCAUGUUCAUUUCCAAGCCUGUUGUUUUCUGCAUCAGCUCAUUCAUCACGGCAAGGAUGAUAAUGUGGCCCAUGAAUUUUGCCUCGGCUAUUCCUGCACGAUAAUGAAAUUUCUGCAUGUAUUCUAUCCUUAUCCUAUCCAGAAAAUCCACCACAUAAUGACCCUUUAGUUUCCGGAUCGUUGAGUUGAAAGACUCUGCUAGAUUAUUGUGCACAUAGUCAACUUUGCUCAGUUCACUAAAUUGGCUUCUGGCCCAUAACUUGGAGUGGUGUGUUUCCAAGUAUUCUUUCACUUUGGGAUUCAUGUAUAACUGCCUCAAGUGGUAGUUGUGCUUCUUCACACUGCAAGUCAAAGAUGCUGGCCAUAAAUUGUCGGUAUACACCUUUCCUUUGAAUUUCUUCAUGAAAUUUGCAGCAAGGUGACGCAUGCAUUCCCUAUGCUCUACUCCAGGGAACACAUUGUCCAUGAUCACUUUUAAACCUUUACAGGCAUCUGUAUGAAUGACCAACCCAUUGGGAUGUGCAAUAGCCCGGCGCAAAUUAUGCAAAAACCAAGUCCAGCUCUCCUCGAACUCUGUCUCCAGCACACCGUAGGCAACUGGAAAUACAAAACUGUGUGCAUCAACUGCACAAGCAGCUACUAACUGUCCUUUAAACCUCCCUGUGAGAAAAGUGGCAUCAAUAGCCAAAUAAGGCCUGCAACCUGCCAAAAAACCCCGGCGACAAGCCUCAAAGUAGACAAAAACACUCCUAAAGCAUUCCUUGGUCUUUGUCACCCCCCUGAAUGUGUACUCCACGGUGUGGUGAUCAAUAUCUACAAUACUACCUGGGCUUGUCCUCUCCACUUCACCUUUGAAUGAAUACAACAAUUGAAAACUUUCCUGCCAGUUACCAUACAUAGAAUCCAUAGCCUGUUGUUUACCAUUGAACAACCUCAUGUAUGGUAAAUCUAUCUUGAAUUUAUCUUUGAUGUUCUUCUGCAAUUCCUUUAGACCCACUUGCUGGUUUUCUUUCACCCACUUCUUUACUUCUUCUGCCAGCCAUCUUGACUUGGCUCUAUUGAUUGUAUCCUUCCUAAGGGUUGAUUCCUGGCAUGUGUGCUUAAAAGGGUUCACUUUGACCUGAACAUUAGUGCUAUUUCACAUUUUAGAUGCGAGCAGCCUCCAUGGACAACCCUCAGUCGGACAGUGCACUCUGUAACGUACUUGAUCGCUCUUGUCAACUUUGAAAGUACGUUCUACCUUGAUGCAGUAUGUCACAAGUGCAUUUCUACACUCAUUCAUGGAUGCAUAAAUGGUACCUUCUUCCAAAUUAGGGUUCAAAGGGUCCCAUUCAACAGCUGCAAGGUCUUGGUCCUCACCCACCGCGUCAUCAUCCACACGGACUGCAUUGUGAGCCUCAUCUUGGUUAUCAGCCCGAGGUGCCCGUCGUAAAUUCCGAAUAACAUCAGAAUAUAGCUUCUCUUCAUCAACCCCAGAAUUGUAGUCAUCAUGCUCCACUUCAAGGGGGACCCUACUGCUGUUGCCCACACUUGUCGAGCCACCACGUCACCGUGCACCAACUAAACUGUUCUGGCUAGAGAUGCCAUUACGACGACUUGGUUCUCCCCGAGAUGUUGCACCCGUCAUCCUAGGUCCAAAUGCUUGCUCAAGCACAUCAACUUGCAGCCUCACAUGAAAAUUAUCUUUCUCUUUAUGCCUAACAAACAUGGUAGCUAGCUCUUCAUCAUUACUAACUGUCACCCAUUUCUUUUCCCCAUCAUAGUAUUUGUAUACCACUUCAUCAAGCAAACCCCAAGGAUAUUGGCUACAAAUUACCUCCCCAAAUUGUCUGAAACUCCAAUUACUAGCCAUUGGCAACCGAUAAUCAAAACCUCCUUGGUAUUUCUUCUGAUCCUUUGCAUCAAACGUGUACCGGUCCCUUCUAAUGUGCAUCAAGAAAGCAAACCGCAACUCCAUCCUAACCGGCGAAAAACUGAGACACAAUCAGCACACUAAUUAGGCAAACCUACUCGAAUCAAGUGUUCAAAUGCACAACUAAGCUCAAUCUAAACAGGAGGCGAGACUUACCCCUUGGGAACCCAGUCGUGGACGCGGCGGAUCUCCGGCCCGAUGCCUGCCUCGCCAGGUACUCCAGGGUUGCCGUUGCUCUCCAUUUCGGCCUAGGGUUCUUCCUCCUAGUUCAAAUAGCUCCAACAGCCCCCCACCUUUGAGCGCUCCAGCCGGGUGCAUGGAAGGAGGCCGCGCCGCGGGUCGAGCCGGUGGCGGGCGCCCCAUCCGUGGCAUCGCAGGAAGGUGGCGGGCGUCGCAGGCAUCCGUGGAGCAUAGGCGCAGAAAAGUAGCAGUGGAGUAGGCGUGCAGCUGGUGGCGGGACAUGUCCUGGCCGCGGCGCAAGUGCCGGCGGCGGCGCAGGUCAGUCGGCCGGUGGGGAAGCGGAUGGGCAGAGUGAGCUAUGAAUGAUUUGGGGAUUUAGUUGCACGGGCCUACAAGUCAGCUCCAGACCCACGUCCACGUGGUCCCACAUGUAAGCACCGGACCCACAACUUAACGCUGGCGGACGGAAUGGACUCAAAUAUGGCCGUUUGGCCUUGUCAUAGUAGCUGUGCAUGGACUAGGGGCAAACCUGAGCACAAUUUGCAUCUGAGGGCAAAACGGAGCACAGAGACACCACUGAGGGCAAAAGGAUAAUUAACCCUUAUAACAUAGGGUGACACAGAACUAGCUCCAGUUCAUCAAUGUAAUGUAGGCAUGUAUUCUGAAUAUAGUCAUACGUGCUUAUGGAAAAAAACUUGCAUGACAUCUUUUGUCCUACCCUCCCGUGGCAGUGAGGUCCUAAUGGAAACUAAGGGAUAUUAAGGCCUCCUUUUAAUAGAGAACCAGAACAAAGCAUUAGCACUUAGUGAAUACAUGAACUCCUCAAACUACGGUCAUCACCGAGAAGUAUCCCGAUUAUUGUCACUUCGGGGUUGUCGGAUCAUAACACAUAAUAUGUGACUAUAGACUUGCAGGAUAGGAUCAAGAACUCACAUAUAUUCAUGAAAACAUAAUAGGUUCAGAUCUGAAAUCAUGGCACUCGGGCCCUAGUGACAAGCAUUAGGCAUAGCAAAGUCAUAGCAACAUCAAUCUCAGAACAUAGUGGAUACUAGGGACCAAACCCUAACAAAACUAACUUGAUUACAUGGUAAAUCUCAUCCAACCCAUCACCGUCGAGCAAGCCUACGAUGGAAUUACUCACGCACGGCGGUGAGCAUCAUGAAAUUGGUGAUGGAGAAUGGUUGAUGAUGACGACGGCAAUGAAUCCCCCUUUGCAGAGCCCCGAAUGGACUCCAGAUCAACCCUCCCGAGAGAGAUUAGGGCUUGGCGGCGACUCCAUAUCGUAAAACGCGAUGAAACUUAAUAUCUGGGUUUUUUCUCCGCGAAAGAGAAUAUAUGGAGUUGGAGUUGAGGUCGGUGGACAUCCAGGGGGCCCACGAGGCAGGGGGCGCGCCCAGGGGGAGGGGGCACUAGUUCUAGUAGCCACUCUACAAAGGUUCCUGAGUCAUUCUACCAGUUCUAGUAGCCACUCUAACAGCAAAGUCAUCUUUAUUAUUUAAUUCAUCGAGCAGAUCGCUUUGAGCUUUAAGUACUUGCUCUGCUUGAGUGGUAACCAUAGAAGCAUAUUUGCUAAUGAGUUUAAGUUCACCUUUAACUCUAGCCAUAUAAUCACUCAAGUGUCCAAUCAUGUAAGCAUUACUCUUUAAUUCUCUACCAACAUAAUCAUUGAAAUUUUCUUGUCUAGCCAUAAAGUCAUCAAAUUCAUCUAAGCAUUGGCUAGGAAACUUAGUAGAUGGGAUUUCAACCUUAUCAUAUCUAUAGAGAGAAUUUACCUUUAUUACCUGUGUCGGGUUAUCAAGACCAUAUGUUUCUUCAACAGGCGGUAUAUUAAGACCAUGUAUUUCUUCAAUAGGAGGUAAAUUCUUAACAUCUUCAGCUUUAAUACCUUUCUCUUUCAUUGAUUUUUUUGCCUCUGGCAUAUCUUCAGGACUGAGAAAUAGAACACUCCUCUUCUUUGGAGUUGGUUUAGGAAUAGGCUCAGGAGCUGGCUCAGUUGGCUCAGGAAUUGGCACAGGAAGAGUCCAGUUAUUUUCAUUAGUCAACAUAUUAUUCAAUAACAAUUCAGCUUGGUCGACUGUUCUUUCCCUGAAUAAAAUAACCAGCACAACUAUCCAGGUGGUCCUUGGAAGCAUCAGUUAGUCCAUUAUAAAAGAUAUAAAUUAUUUCAUUUUUCUUAAGAGGAUGAUCAGGCAAAGCAUUAAGUAAUCGGAGAAGGCUCCCCCAAGCUUGUGGGAGACUCUCUUCUUCGAUUUGCACAAAAUUAUAUAUUUCCCUCAAGGCAUCUUGUUUCUUAUGAGCAGGGAAAUAUUUAGCAGAGAAGUAAUAAAUCAUAUCCUGGGGACUACUCACACAACCAGGAUCAAGAGAAUUAAACCAAGUUUUAGCAUCACCCUUUAAUGAGAAUGGAAAUAUCUUAAGGAUAUAGUAGUAGUGAGAUUUAUCAUCGUUAGUAAACAGGGUGGCUAUAUAAGUUAACUUAGUGAGAUGUGCCACAACAGUUUCAGAUUCAUCGCCAUAAAAAGGAUCAGAUUCAACCAAAGUAAUUAUCUCAGGAUCGGCAGAGAAUUCAUAAUUCUUAUCAGUAACAAAGAUAGGUGAAGUAGCAAAAGCAGGGUCAUAUUUCAUUCUAGCAUUUAGAGUUUUCUGUUUAAGUUUAGCUAAUAACUUCUUAAGAUCAGAUCUAUCAUUGCAAGCAAGAAGAUCUCUAGCAGUUUCUUCAUCCAGAACAUAACCCUCAGGAACAACAAGCAAUUCAUACUUAGGGGGAGAACCUUCAUCAUCACUAUCUUCAAUAAUAUCAUCUUCAAUAAUUUCAUUCUCUCUAACCCUAGCAAGUUGUUCAUCUAGAUAUUCACCUAAUGGCACAGUAGUAUCAAGCAUAGAAGUAGUUUCAUCAUAAGUAUCACACAUAGCAGAAGUGGCAUCAUCAAUAACAUGCGACAUAUCAGAAUUCAUAGGAGUAGCAGGUUUAGGUGUCGCAAGCUUAUUCAAAACGGAAGGAGAAUCUAGUGCAGAGCUAGAUGGCAGUUCCUUACCUCCCCUCGUAGUUGAGGGGAAAAUCUUAGUUAUUUCGUCUUUCAAGUUCUUCAUAGUGAUCAGCAGAUAUAAAUCCCAAGUGACCCAAAGAAUAGAGCUAUGCUCCCCGGCAACGGCGCCAGAAAAUAGUCUUGAUAACCCACAAGUAUAGGGGAUCGCAACAGUUUUCGAGGGUAGAGUAUUCAACCCAAAUUUAUUGAUUCGACACAAGGGGAGCCAAAGAAUAUUCUCAAGUAUUAGCAGUUGAGUUGUCAAUUCAACCACACCUGGAUAACUUAGUAUUUGCAGCAAAGUAGUAUGAUAGUAAUGGUAACAGUAGUAAAAGUAACGGUAGCAGUUUUGUAGUGAUUGUAAUAGUAGCAACGGUAAAGUAAAUAAGCAAAGCACAAUAUGUGAAAAGCUCAUAGGCAUUGGAUCAGUGAUGGAUAAUUAUGUCGGAUGGGAUUCCUCAUGUAAUAGUUAUAACAUAGGGUGACAUAGAACUAGCUCUAGUUCAUCAAUGUAAUGUAGGCAUGUAUUCCGAAUAUAGUCAUACGUGCUUAUGGAAAAGAACUUGCAUGACAUCUUUUGUCCUACCCUCCCGUGGCAGCGGGGUCCUAAUGGAAACUAAGGGAUAUUAAGGCCUCCUUUUAAUAGAUAACCGGAACAAAGCAUUAGCACUUAGUGAAUAAAUGAACUCCUCAAACUACGAUCAUCACCGAGAAGUAUCCCGAUUAUUGUCACUUCGGGGUUAUCGGGUCAUAACACAUAAUAGGUGACUAUAGACUUGCAAGAUAGGACCAAGAACUCACAUAUAUUCAUGAAAACAUAAUAGGUUCAGAUCUGAAAUCAUGGCACUCGGGCCCUAGUGACAAGCAUUAAGCAUAGCAAAGUCAUAGCAACAUCAAUCUCAGAACAUAGUGGAUACUAGGGAUCAAACCCUAACAAAACUAACUUGAUUACAUGGUAAAUCUCAUCCAACCCAUCACCGUCCAGCAAGCCUAUGAUGGAAUUACUCACACACGGCGGUGAGCAUCAUGAAAUUGUUGAUGGAGGAUGGUUGAUGAUGACGACGGCGACGAAUCCCCCUCUCUAGAGCCCCGAACGGACUCCAGAUCAGCCCUCCUGAGAGAGAUUAGGGCUUGGCGGCGGCUCCGUAUCGUAAAACGUGAUGAAACUUUCUCUCUGGGUUUUUUUUCUCCAUGAAAGAGAAUAUAUGGAGUUCGAGUUGAAGUCGGUGGAUAUCCAGGGGCCCACGAGGCACGGGGGCGCGCCCAGGGGGAGGGGGCGCGCCCCCCACCCUCGUGGACAGGGUGUGGGCCCCCUGGUGCUGAUUAUUUCUCCAGUAUUUUUUAUUAAAUCCAAAAAGUUGCUCCGUGGAUUUUUCAGGUCAUUCCGAGAACUUUUAUUUCUGCACAAAAAUAACUCCAUGUAAGUUGUGCUGAAAACAGCGUCAGUCCGUGUUAGUUCCAUUCAAAUCAUGCAAGUUAGAGUCCAAAACAAGGUCAAAAGUGUUUGGAAAAGUAGAUACGAUGGAGACGUAUCAACUCCCCCAAGCUUAAACCUUUGCUUGUCCUCAAGCAAUUCAGUUGACAAACUGAAAGUGAUAAAGAAAAACUUUUACUAACCUGUUUGUUGUUGUUGUUGCAAAUAUGUUAAGCUAGCAUUCAGGUUUUCAGCAAAGAUUAUGAACUAACCAUAUUCACAAUAACACUUAGGUCUCAUGUUUACUCAUAUCAAUGGCAUAAUCAACUAGCAAGCAAUAAUAAUAAAUCGCGUAUGACAACACUUUCUCAAAACAAUCAUAAUAUGAUAUAACAAGAUGGUAUCUCGCUAGCCCUUUCUGAGACCGCAAUACAUAAAUGCAGAGCACCUUUGAUGAUCAAGGACUGACUAAACAAUGUAAUUCAUGGUAAAAGAGAUCCAGUCAUAGUCAUACCCAAUAUAAAUCAAUAGUAAUACAUGCAAAUGACAGUGGUGCUCUCCAGCGGGUGCUUUUUAAUAAGAGGGUGAUGACUCAACAUAAAAGUAAAUAGAUAGGCCCUUCGCAGAGGGAAGCAGCGAUUUGUAGAGGUGCCAGAGCUAGAUUUUCAAAUAGAGAUAAAUAAUAUUUUGAGCGGUAUACUUUCAAUGUCAACAUAACAACUGAGAGAUCUCGAUAUCUUCCAUACUACACACAUUAUAGGCGGUUCCCAAACAGAAUGGUAAAGUUUAUACUCUCCUGCCACCAACAAGCAUCAAUCCAUGGCUUGCCCGAAACAACGGGUGCCUCCAACUAACAACAAUCCUGGGGGAGUUUUGUUUGUAAUUAUUUUUUAUUUAAGCAUGGGACUGGGCAUCCCGGUUACUAUCCAUUUUCUCGUGAAUGAGGAGCGGAGUCCACUCCUCUUGAGAAUAACCCACCUAACAUGGAAGAUACAGAUAGCCCUAGUUGAUACAUGAGCUGUUCGAGCAUACAAAAUAUAAUUUCAUUUGAAGGUUUGGAGGAUGGCGCAUACAAAUUUACCUGGAACGGCAGGUAGAUACCGCAUAUAGGAAGGUAUGGUGGACUCAUAUGGAAUAACUUUGGGGUUUCUUGAUUUUGGAUGCAAAAGCAGUAUUCCCACUUAAUACAAGUGAAGGCUAGAAAAAUACUGGGAAGCGACCAACUAGAGAGCGACAACGGUCAUGAACAUGCAUUAAAAUUAAUCAACACUGAGUGCAAGCAUGAGUAGGAUAUAAUCGACCAUGAACAUAAAUAUCGUGAAGGCUAUGUUGAUUUUGUUUCAACUACAUGCGUGAACAUGUGCCAACUCAAGUCAGUCGAAUUAUUCAAAGGAGUAUACCACCCUAUCAUACCACAUCACAGCCAUUUUAAUAGCAUGUUGGCACGCGAGGUAAACCAUUAUAAACUCCUGGCUAAUUAAGCAUGGCAUAAGCAACUAUAAUCUCUAAUUGCUAUUGCAAACAUGUUUAUUCAUAAUAGGCUGAAUUAGUAACGAUGAACUAAUCAUAUUCACAAAAACAAGAGAGGUCGAGUUCAUACCAGCUUCUCUCAUCUCAAUCAUUUCAUCAUAUAUCGUCAUUAUUGCCUUUUACUUGCACGGCCGAACGGUGUGGAAAAUAGUAAUAGUGCAUGUGCAUUGGACUAAGCUGGAAUCUGCAAGCCUUCAAUUCAGGGGAGAAGACAAGGUAAUAUGUGCUCUUGGUUAAAUCAACAAUAAAGCAUAUGAGAGCCACUCAACAUUUUCAUCAUGAUCUUCUCCUCUCGACCCCCAAAGAAAAGAAAAGAAAUAAAACUAUUUACAUGGGAAAGCUCCCAACAAACAAAAGAAGAACGAGAAAUCUUUUUGGGUUUUCUUUUAAUUACUACUACUACAUGCAUGGAAAGUAAACUAGCUAAAAGUUACAACUAUUUUUUUUUGUUUUUCUUAAGAGUUUUCAAACACACAAGAAGAAAGCUAGAAAAAGAAAAUAAACUAGCAUGGAUAGUACAAUGAAAAAGUAUGAGCAUCGACAACUAGAAUGAGUGUGUGAACAUGAAUGUAAUGUCGGUGAGGAAUACAUACUCCCGCAAGCUUAGGCUUUUGGCCUAAGUUGGUCUAUGCCCACGGAUGGCCUGGCGGAUAUCCAAAGUUGUAACUGGGGUCGUACUGAGAUGCAGCAGCCAUCGCCUCACGAGCUGCAACUUGGAGGCGGGCUGCCUCCGUCCUCCUCUCGUACUUGUUCGCCUCCUCCCUGGUUAUAAAAUAUCUCCUUUUUGCCUGAAAGACAAAUAAACCAGGAGCAGGGAGAGCAACAUGGACAGUGCGACGUCUGUCAAAGAUUAGUCAGUAUUGGAGAAAUUGUUCAUUCCUCUCAAGAAACUGAUGGCUAACCAUGGCGUCAUAAUCUAAAUAAGCAGGGGCAACUCCAUAUCCCCUUCAUGUAUGGUAUCUCAAGAAAAUUAGCUACACGGGUUGCAUAAAUCCCACCAAACAAGUCUCCAAUUAAACCAUUAUUAUGCAACCUACGUGCAACAAUGGCCCCCAAGUUAUAUUGUUUAUCUCCUAAUACAGCACUCUUGACAACACUAAGAUCUGGAACACACAUGUGACAAGCUUCAUCUUUACCGUUAAUGCAUCUACCUAUGAAGAGAGCAAAAUAAUGUAUAGCAGGAAAAUGAAUGCUCCCUAUGGUAGCUUGUGCUAUUUCUCUAGAUUCCCCCACAGUGAUACUAGCAAGAAUAUCUUUAUAUUCGGAUUUGCGAGGUUCACUAGCACUACCCCAUUGCGGGAGUUUACAAGCAGUAGUAAAAUCUUCUAGGUCCAUGGUAUAUGAUUUAUCACAGAGAUCAGAUAAAAUAGUGUGAGAAUUGCGCGAAGAUAUGAAUUUGAACCUUCUCACAAAGGAAUCAGUUAAAUGGUAGUAUUGAGGGCACUUAUCUUGCAUGAAGUCCUCAAGAUCAGCAUUACGCACAUAUGCAUCAAAUUCAUCCUUGAUGCCUGCUUUGACCAUAAACUCCUCUGACGGCCAUUCACAGGGCCACACGUAAGCUUCCCUCGGUGGUUCAUCAUCCUGCUCAUGUAUUGCAAGCCUGGGUCCUUGCUUCCUUGAAGAACCACCUUGGUACAUUUUCCUAGACAUAUUUCUUCCUCUAAAAAAUUUCUGAAAAUUUUAGUAACUCCAAAUAAAAGUGAACCAAACUCAAUAAAAUUAAUAGCAACUACUCCCACAAGUGCCUAGAGACUAUAUCAUGCAUUAGAACUACUUGGGACCAUAUAAAUUUGACAUCUAAGCUCAAGAACAGGGUCACCUUAGCAGCAAUUUUUUUCAAUGAAUAAAGCAGUAUAACAAAAACUAAUUGGACCAUUGGAGGAGUCACAUACCAAAGAACAAUCCCCCAAAGCAGUUUUGUGAAUGGAGCUUUGAGCAAGGAGAUCAAAAAUGGCAGCAAAAUGAGCUAGAACUCGUGCUUGAGCUGGAUGGUGAUUUUUUUGGGAGGAAGAAGAAGUGUGUGAGUGCAGGAAUAAAUGGAGGGGGCCACCAUGGGCCCACGAGGUAGGGGGAGCGCCCCAUGGGGGUGGGCACGUCCUGGACCCUCAUGGCCAGGUGCUUGCUCUCCUUGCUGUGUUCUCAGUGCCAGAUAUUCUCAAAUAUUCCAGAAAAAAUCAUAUUUGAUUUUCAGGGCAUUUGGAGAAUUUUGAUUUUUGGGGUAUUUUUUUAUUGCAUGGAUAAUUUAAAAAACAGACAGAAAAUACUAUUUUUACUUUAUUUAAUCUAAAUAAUAGAAAGUAGAAGGAGGGUACAAAAGGUUGUGCCUUCUAACUUCAUCCAUAUCAUGCUCAUCAAAAGGAAUACACUAACAAGGUUGAUCACGUCUUGUUAACAAACUCAUUCCGAAUCGCAUGAAACCGGAGAAAUUUCGAAUAACAUUAAGUUACCUCAACUGGGAUAUGUACAUCCCCAAUAAUAAGAAUAUCAUAUUUCUUCUUGAUAGUAGGAAGAGGAAAUUCAAAACCUCCAAUAAUAAUCGAUGGAAAUUUUCCAAUAGAAUUGAUACUUUGAACUUGCGGUUGUUUCCAUGGAAAGUGUACCAUAUGCUCAUUACCAUUAACAUGAAAAGUGACAUUGCCUUUGUUGCAAUCAAUAACAGCCCUGCAGUAUUCAAAAAGGGUCUACCAAGGAUAAUUGACAUACUAUCGUCCUUAGGAAUAUCAAGAAUAACAAAGUCCGUUAAGAUAGUAAUGUUUGCAACCACAACAGGCACAUCCUCACAAAUAUCGACAGGUAUAGCGGUUGAUUUACCAGCCAUUUGCAAAGAUAUUUCAGUAGGUGUCAACUUAUUCAAUUCAAGUCUACGAUAUAAAGAGAGAGGCAUAACACUAAUACCAGCUCCAAGAUCACAUAAAGCAGUUUUAACAUAGUUUCUUUUAAUGGAAAAUGGUAUAGUUGGUACUCCUGGAUCUCCAAGUUUCUUUGGUAUCCACCCUUAAAAGUGUAAUUAGCAAGCAUGGUGGAAAUUCCAGCUUCCGGUAUCUUUCUUUUAUUUGUAAUAAUAUCUUUCAUGUACUUAGCAUAAGGAUUCACUUUAAGCAUAUCAGUCAAACGCAUACGCAAAAAGAUAGGUCUAAUCAUUUCAGCAAAGCGCUCAAAAUCCUCAUCAUCCUUUUUCUUGGAUGGUUUAGGAGGAAAGGGCAUGGGUUUCUGAACCCGUGGUUCUCUUUCUUUACCGUGCUUCCUAGCAAUGAAGUCUCUCUUAUCAUAACGUUGAUUCUUUGAUUGUGGUUAUCAAGAUCAACAGCCGAUUCAACCUCUACAUCAUUGUUAUUGCUAGGUUGAGCAUCAGCAUGAACAUCAUCAUUAACAUUAUCACUAGGUUCAUGUUCAUCACCAGAUUGUGUCUCAACAUCAAAAAUAGAAAUAUCAUUGGGAUUCUCAGGUGUGUCUACAACAGGUUCACUAGAAGCAUGCAAAGUCAUAUCAUUUUUCAUUUUCUUCCUCUUAGAAGGACUAGGUGCAUCAACAUUAUUUCUCUGAGAAUCUUGCUUAGUUCUCUUAGGGUGGCCCUCAGGAUACAAAGGUUCCUGAGUCAUUUUACCCAUUCUAGUUGCUACUCUAACAGCAAAGUCAGGUUUAUUAUUCAAUUAAUUGAGCAAAUCAUUUUGAUCUUUAAGCACUUGUUCUACUUGAGUGGUAACCAUAGAAGCAUGUUUACUAAUGAGUUUAAGUCCACCCUUAACUCUAGACAUAUAAUCACUCAAGUGUCCAAUCAUAUAAGCAUUACUUUUCAAUUGUCUACCAACAUAAGCAUUGAAGUUUUCUUGUCUAGCCAUAAAGUCAUCAAAUUCAUCUAAACAUUGGCUAGCAAACUUAGUAGACGGGAUUUCAACUUUAUCAUAUCUAUAGAGAGAAUUUACCUUUACUACCUAUAUCUGGUUAUCAAGACCAUGUGUUUCUUAAAUAGGUGGUAUAUUAAGGUCAUGUAUUUCUUCAACAGGAGGUAAAUUCUUAACAUCUUCAGCUUUAAUACCUUUCUCUUUCAUAGAUUUAUUUGCCUCUUGCAUAUCUUCAGGACUGAGAAGUAAAACACCUCUUUUCUUCGGAAUUGGCUUAGGAGUUGGCUCAGGAAUUGGCUCAGGGAUUGGCUCAGGAAGUGUCCAAUUGUUUUCAUUAGUCAACAUAUUAUUCAAUAACAAUUCAGCUUGAUCCAUAGUUCUUCCCCUGAAAACACAACCAGCACAACUAUCCAGGUGGUCUCUGGAAGCAUCGGUUAGUCCAUUAUAAAAGAUAUCAAGUAUUUUAUUUUUCUUGAGAGGAUGAUCAGGCAAAGCAUUAAGUAAUCGGAGAAGCCUCCCCCAAGCUUGUGGGAGACUCUCUUCUUAAAUUUGCACAAAAUUAUAUAUUUCCCUUAAAGCAGCUUGUUUCUUAUGAGCAGGGAAAUAUUUAGCAGACAAGUAAUAAAUCAUAUCCUGGGGACUAAGCACACAACCAGGGUCAGGAGAAUUAAACCAUGUUUUAGCAUCACCCUUUAAUGAGAACGGAAAUAUCUUAAGGAUAUAAUAGUAGCGAGUUUCCUCAUCAUUAGUGAACAGGGUGGUUAUAUCGUUUAACUUAGUAAGAUGUGCCACAACAGUUUUAGAUUCAUAGCCAUAAAAAGGAUCAGAUUCAACCAAAGUAAUUAUCUCAGGAUCGACAGAGAAAUCAUAAUCCUUAUCAGUAACACAGAUAGGUGAAGUAGCAAAAGCUGGGUCAUAUUUCAUUCUAGCAUUCAGAGACUUCUGUUUCAGCUUAGCUAAUGAUUUCUUAAGAUCAGAUCUAUUAUUGCAAGUCAUAGAAACAUCAAUAUCAGAACAUAGUGGAUACUAGGGAUCAAACCCUAACAAAACUAACUUGAUUACAUGCUAAAUCUCAUCCAACCCAUCACCGUCCAGCAAGCCUAUGAUGGAAUUACUCACGCACGGCGGUGAGCAUCAUGAAAUUGGUGAUGGAGGAUGGUUGAUGAUGACGACAGCGACGAAUCCCCCUCUCUAGAGCCCCGAACGGACUCCACAUCAGCCCUCCUGAGAGAUAUUAGGGCUUGGCGGCGGCUCCGUAUUGUAAAACGCGAUGAAACUUUCUCUCUGGGUUUUUUUUCUCCAUGAAAGAGAAUAUAUGGAGUUCGAGUUGAAGUUGGUGGAUAUCCAGGGGCCCAUGAGGCACGGGGGCGCGCCUAGGGGGAGGGGGCACGCCCCCCACCCUCGUGGACAGGGUGUGGGCCCCCUGGCCUUGAUUCUUUCGCCAGUAUUUUUUAUAUUUUCCAAAAGUAAUCUUCGUGGAUUUUCAUGUCAUUCUGAGAACUUUUGUUUCUGCACAAAAAUAACACCAUGGCAGUUCUGCUGAAAACAACGUCAGUCCGAGUUAGUUUCAUUCAAAUCAUGCAAAUUAGAGUCCAAAACAAGGGCAAAAGUGUUUGGAAAAGUAGAUACAUUGGAGACGUAUCACUUGCCCUUUUCAACUCGGCUGUGACUGCCAUAUUUUCUAUGAAACAAGGCAAAUGGCUUGCCAUUCGUUUAAUUUAGAGUGAAAUAUUGUAACAAAUCCUAACCAAGGGAAAUAACAUCACUCUCGCCGGCUGCUUCAGCUCACUGUGCAUUAUAGAAGCCAAGUGAUUAGCCCCCAUCAGCACCCACAAACUUAUUUCGAACUAGCACAUCAAAUGGGAUGUAAAUUUUCAUAGGAAAGGUUGCAUGACCGUGACUGAUUUGGAUUCUGACAUUUGGGACCCACGAGGAAAUAGCCUAUCCAAGGUGGUGUCGACUUACUAGCCAGUCAACAAACGAUUCUGCCUACCAGCCGUUGGAUUGACAUCCAACAUCUGUCGUGUAUAUUCUAUCUCUUGUCUUCUUCUUCCUCCAGCCGCCCAAAACCACCCCGUUGGCUCCGCCUACUCCGGCCUCCAAUGGCUUGCUGCGCCUCGGCCGCCCUACUGUACCCUCCAUCGUUGGCCAGUCCCUCCCUCUAUUCCCCCACACGUCCUGUUAUUCUCCGGCAAUGUCAACCCCAACACGCACCCACACCCAAACCAGUCAACCCUCGUACUCCCCUCCGCCUGCGACUGGGCUGACGCAUCUUCCACGGCUCUUGUUCGUUCCGUCUGAGGCCUCACCGUCGUCCUCCAUCUUGGUUCGCUCGCCGUGCACGGUGCGCCGCCCUCUUGCGUUUUCAACAUCGCCAACAACCGAGAGGAACAAGGAGAUGACUGUACGUGGAGAGGAUGACAGUAGGGACUCACCAGCGUCAUGGCAGUAUGCAAGCAAGUGUGUCGUUAUUACAAGCCCAAAAAAUGGCUCCUCCUAAUGGUUGGACAUCUGGGGCUCACCCAUUGUCAACGUAGUCAGUAAACGAGAGAAUUACACUACGAGCGGCUGACACCACGGACCCAGCAGGUCACCCACUUUUUUAUUGAGGAACAAGCAGUUGUUAUUUAUACUAGUUUUAGCAAUGGAACAGGGUAACAACGGGGCUGUGUGGGGCCUGUGGCCCGUCUAGCCAGGGUUUUAUUUAUGUUUACUACAUCAUGAGCCCAGUUAUGUUUUUUUCUUGCUGAAAAUGGCUAGCCCAGUUCUAUUUUUUAAAACAAAUACCCAAACGAGGCCUACUUGCUUUAUCAUCCCUGCUAGGCUGCAAAUCUUUUAAGACGAGGAGAGUUUCAUUUGGUUUGCCUAGAAAUGGGCUGUACAUUUUUAAAACACAUCAAACCGGGAAUUAGUUUCAAUUUUUUUUCAUUACAAGAUUUAAAAUUACAUUGAUUUUUAUGCGUGGACAAUUAUUUGGAUUUUAUAUUUAUAUAAAUUAUUUUUUCAAAAUAGUUUGAAUGUGAAUCGAUAUUUCGGGACUAAAAACAGAUGACCGCACCGAAAUAUGCAAAAUUUCGUAUAAUUUUUAACCGUGGCCACAAUAUGGGGUGUAAUGCUAACAAAAAUAAGAUGGGCUCCAAAACAAUUCUUAAGAAUUAACAAAUGAGCUGUACAUUAUUAUAAAUAAUGGCAGAUGGGUUGUGUGCUGUUUUCCACAGAUUUGAGGCUAACUUGUGCGCCUACUAUAGGUUGACGCGUAUGCUUUCCUAAAAAACGGUUGACGCACAUGCAACACCGUGUCAACUUAGUCAACAGACGAGAGCAGUGAUUGUUGGAUGUCAAUCCAACGGCCGUCGUGCUUCUUCAAUCUCUGCUCUUCCUGCUCCAGCCGCCCAAACAAGCACCGGCGGGACUGCCUGCUCCCUCCUCUUGCAGCCGGCUAUGCCACCGCGCAGGCCUCACCGCCCCACCGUACUCCCAUCGCUGGCCUAGCCAUCCCUCUACUCACCCACACCUGCUGUUAUUCUCCGGGGAUGGAAAAUGAACCACUAAACCCUCAUACUCCCCUCCGCGUGGGAAACAACUGCCGAGUCUUCCAUGGCUCCAUGUCGUUCCCUUCCUAGGCCUCGCCGUCGACCACCGCCCUUGUGCUCUUGGCGCGUCCUGGUUAACAUGGUCAAUGAACGACAUCCAUCGGAAGUGGACUAUACGUGGAGAGGCUGACAGCUGGGUCCACGGCCGCACGCAAGGAAAUGCCUCCUUAUUACGCACAAAAUAAUGAUUCCUCCACCUAACAUCUAGGACCCACCGGAAGGGCGUCUGUAUUUGGCGGAAAAAAUGUUCCCCCCACUGACAGGUCGGACCCACCAACUAUAUCUUCGCACGCAAGGAAGUGCCUCCUUAUUAUGCACAGAAAAAUGAAUACCCCCUGCUAGCUGGGACCCACCAUAGUGGGAGGCUGACUUGUGGGCCUACUAAGUUGACGGGGACGGAGGGCUUUGUCAACUUAGUCAAUAUGAACGAUUCUAGCUCCAGUGACCGUACGAUGUCCAUCCAACGGUCGUAGUGCUUCUUCAACCUCUGGUAUUCUUGCUCCAGCCGCCCAAACCAGCGCCGGUCGUGCCACAUGCUCCUGCCUCCCGUGGCCAGCUGUGAUGCCGCGGAAGCCUCACCGCCCCCUACUACUCCCACCGCUGGCCAGGCCAUCCCUCUACUCAACCACACCGCCUGUUAUUCUGUAGCGACGGCAGCCUCACACCAGCCGAACUAGUGAACCCUCGUACUCCUCUCCGCAUGGGCAUCCACUGCCGUGUCUUCCCCGACUCCGUGUCGUCCCCUUCCUAGGCCUCGUCAUCGUCCACCGCCUGGUGCUCUCGGAGCGGCGUGGUCAACAUGGUCAAGGCACAACUUCCAUCGGUAGAGUACUGUACGUGGAGAGGCUGACAGCUGGGUCCACGACAGCCGCAAGGAAUUGGCUCCUUAUUACGCGCAAAAUAAUUAUUCCUCCACCUGACAGCAGGGACCCACCGUACGGGCCACUGUAUUUUGUGAAAAAAACAUUUCUGCCUGACUGCUGGGACCCACCAGCUACAUCUUCGCACGCAAGGAAGUGCGUCCAUAUUACGGGCAAAAAAAAUGAUUUGCCCCCUGACUGCUGGGACCUACCAGCUACAUCUUCGCAUGCAAGGAAGUGCAUGACAGUCGGGACCCACCUCGUCGAAGCGUACAUAGCGUUGUCAUUCUGGUCGCGAACGUGUACGUACAUACUGGUCGAUGUAGAGGUGCGCACGUGUCGUAGUAGAGACACUCACGUGUCGUAGUAGAGGCAUGCAUGUAGCAUAUACACGUACGUACAGCGGCCAGGGUGCAAGAAAGUAAAUAUGACCACGUACGUACAUACGGGCGGGGUCUCGAACACCUACUCAUGCAUACGUACGGCCAGGGCUCGUGUACAUGGCUGGGUCAGAAUGGAGAAACUGUGUCGUCAUCGUGUUCAUGGGGAGCCAACCGGCUGGGUCGAAACAGAAUACGUCGUCGUGUUCAUCGGGAGGGCUUGGACGGAACAGCCGAUGGAAACAAGGCCUGGCGUACCGCAAAACGGAGGAAACGGCCUUGUGUUCGACUGACCACGGUUGAAACAAGAUCCUGUUCAUCGGGAGGGGUCUGGCAUACCGCAAAAUGGCGGAAACAGACUUCUAUUGGACCGCUUACGGUUGAAACGGGGUUCUGUUGAUCGGGAGGGGUGUGGCGUACCGCAAAACGGAGGAAACAGACUUGUGUUGGACCUUCUACGGUCGAAACGGGGUCCUGUUGAUCGGGAGGGGUGUGGCGUACCACAAAACAGAGGAAAUGGACUUGUGUUGGAGAGCUACGGUCGAAACGGGGGUCCUGUUCAUUGGGAGGGGUGUGGCGUACCGCAAAACGGGACUCCACGGGAUACUAUUCAUCUCCACCAUCAACCUCCUCCAGCCUCCACGGGCUACUGUUCAUCCACUAUCGACCUCCUCCAGCCUCCACCUGCGACUAUUCAUCCAUGGGCUCCUGUUCAUCCAGCCUCCAUCGCGCGCUCCUCCACCGGCUACUGUUCAACCAGCCCUCUCCACAGGGUCCUGUUCAACCACCCCUCCACGCGCUACUAUUCAUCCAGCCCUCCACCGGCUACUGUUCAUCCAGCCCUGCACCGGCUACUGUUCAUCCAGCCCUCCACCGGCUAAUGUUCAUCCAGCCCUCCACGGGGGUCCUGUUCAUCCAGCCCUCCACGGGGUCUUGUUCAUCCACGCCCAACCAGCUCAAUCGAUCGGGGUCCUGUUCAUCCAGCAUCAACACCACGGGGUCCUGUUCAUCCAACCCCCACCGGGAACUGUUCAUACAAACCCCCCNNNNNNNNNNNNNNNNNNNNNNNNNNNNNNNNNNNNNNNNNNNNNNNNNNNNNNNNNNNNNNNNNNNNNNNNNNNNNNNNNNNNNNNNNNNNNNNNNNNNNNNNNNNNNNNNNNNNNNNNNNNNNNNNNNNNNNNNNNNNNNNNNNNNNNNNNNNNNNNNNNNNNNNNNNNNNNNNNNNNNNNNNNNNNNNNNNNNNNNNNNNNNNNNNNNNNNNNNNNNNNNNNNNNNNNNNNNNNNNNNNNNNNNNNNNNNNNNNNNNNNNNNNNNNNNNNNNNNNNNNNNNNNNNNNNNNNNNNNNNNNNNNNNNNNNNCAGCAACGCUCACUGAUCAUCCAAAGGCAACAUCGAUCAGCUUCAGUUAGCAGUAGUAGCGAAGAAAUCGAUCGAUCGCUCUGGUUCAGUAACGUGUAGCCUGCAGUGCAAUCGCUCGGGUUCAAUUAGGCGACGCCUCGCUCGGGUUCAGUUAGAGCCCAACGCCUCGCACCCACGCACGUAGGUGUAUGAGAGGAACGCGCAUCACCCAGCCCCCGACCACCCAUCGUAACCGGGAACUCCCCGAUAUUUUCCUCGCCCUCGCUUCUACCACGGUUUUUUCCGUCAUGGACGGCCCAAAGAAUGUUAUGCAGCUGCGUCUCCGGCCCGUCCAGGAUGAAAAUCCAAUUUUCUGUCAUGAUUUUUGUCAUAGAAGUAGGAGCGCACCACAUCUAUGAUGAUACCGGGUUUUGUCACAAUUAUCGUCAUAGAAGUGUCAUAAGACAUAAAUUUUUUUUGUUCGGCCCAAAAUGUCACGGAUGUGUCUUUUUUUUGUAGUGCACCUUUGGGAAUUGCUGUGAUGAUUCCCUGCACUUGGGGAUUAUCACAUAAUAACCUAGGAUAGCUCAAUAAUGAUCUAUAAUUAGCUUAGCUACUUCAUUUAUGACAUAAUUAGCUCACUUAGGUACGAAAUGGCAUAACAACCUAGGAUAGCUCAAUAAUGAUCUAUAAUUAGCUUAGCUACAUCAUUUAUGACAUAAUUAGCUCACUUAGGUACAAAAUGGCAUAACAGCCUAGGAUAGCUCAAUAAUGAUCUAUAAUUAGCUUAGCUACUUCAUUUAUGACAUAAUUAGCUCACUUAGGUACAAAAUGGCAUAACAACCUAGGAUAGCUCAAGAAUGAUCUAUAAUUAGCUUAGGUACUUCAUUUAUGACAUAAUUAGCGCACUUAGGUAAAAAAUGGCAUAAUAGCCUUGGUUUAGCUCCAAACCAUCAUAUAAUUAGUUUAUUUUCCUCCAACAUGACAAAAUAACCUUACCUAGCUCCAAAAUGACCGAUUUUAACUAGGAUAGCUCUAAAAUGACCUACACUUACCAUUUUGUCCUACAAAAUGACUAAAUAUGCUUAGUUAGCUCAAAAAGGGCAUAACUACGUAGGUUAGCUCCAAAAUGACCUAUUUACCUACCUUAGCUCUAAAAUGACCUACACACUUAGCAGUUUUACCUACCUUAGUGUGUGUGUGUGUGUGUGUGUGAAAUUCUGUCAAAUUGAAUGAAUUUAGGAAAAACAGGGGCUAUAUAGCCACUUUGUCGUGCGCUGGCUGACGACAAUGGUCUUUGUCGUCCGCUAGCAGAUGGCAAAGCUGCCACGAGGCAGCUACCUAUGCAACCUGGGGUUUUGGGGGCUGGCCUAUUUGGCAGAUUUGCCGUUAGCCAGCAAACGACAAAGGCCUUUGCAUCUUUGUCGUCCGCUGGCUGACGGCAAAGCAGACCGUUAACCACUUAACGGACCUGAACUGCCACGUGUGCCAUCAAGGCUCUUUGCCAUCUGUCAGCAGACGACAAAGCCCUUUUCAUCUUUGUCGUCUCCUAGAAGAUGGCAAAGAGGCCUUCGCCGUAGCCUAUUCAACCGGACAUGUUGCUAUCUGCUGGCUGACGGCAAAGGUCUUUGCCGUCAACCAUCCAUGCCUUUGCUGUCAGCCAUCCAUGCCUUUGCCGUCAGCCAUGGCUAACGGCAAAGUGCCUGAUUCUUGUAGUGUCAAGUAAAGUUACCGAUUAACAAAGACGAAAGAGUGGAUGCCUUCCGGUGCAUCCCCAAGCUUAGGCUCUUGGUUGUCCUUGAAUAUUAACUUGUGGUGCCUUGGGCAUCCCCAAGCUUAGUCUCUUUCCACUCCUUAUUCCAUAGUCCAUCAAAUCCUUACCCAAAACUUGAAAUCUUCACAACACAAAACUCAACAGAAAAUCUCAUAAGCUCGGUUAGUAUAAGAAAAUAAAUCACCACUUUAUGGUACUAUUGUGAACUCAUUCAUUAUUUAUAUUGGUGUAAUAUAUACUGUAUUUCAACUUUUCCAUGGUUCAUACCCCCCGAUACUACUCAUAGAUUCAUCAAAAUAAGUAAACAACACAAAGAAAACAGAAUCUGUCAAAAACAGAACAAUUUGUAGCAAUCUGUAACUCUCGAAUACUUCUUUAACUCCAAAAAUUCUGCAAAAUUAGGACAACCUGGGAAAUUUAUGUACCAAUCCAGUGCAAAAAGAAUCAGAUCAAAAGCGCGCUUCUGUGAAUUAUGAAAAUUAUUUUCUUGGGAGCAAAAGUUUUUGUUUCUCAGCAAGAUCAAAACAACUAUCAUUGUAAGCCAUCCCAAAGGUCUUACUUGGCACAAAGACUAACUAAAAAACAAAACCACAUCUAACCAGGGGCUAGAUGAAUUAUUCAAAGAAAAACAGGAACAAAAAGCAAAGGACAAAAAUAAAAUUGGGUUGCCUCCCAACAAGCGUUAUUGUUUAACGCCCUUAGCUAGGCAUAAAAACACGAAUAGAUCUAGGUAUAAUCGUAGUAAUGAUAAGGCAAAUCUCGAAAACUCAUCUCAUACUCCCUUCGUUCAGCAGCAAGUUUUCUUUAUGGUAAGCAGAAGUAAUCAAAAGGCCAAAUUUAAUGGGAUAAGGAUCCCCAAGAUCAAGCUCGGGAGGAAUUGGUUCCUCCUUUGGCCCUUCAUAUUGUAUAACCAACUCAUCAUUGUAACCGUUCUUUUGGCAAAAAGUCAUGAGCUUAUGUCCAAGAGAGAAACCCAAUCCAUUGUUUUGAAUAGCAAAAUUAUCACUAAGCUCAGAAAUCGUAUCAACUAAAACAUCGGUAGGGACCCUCUUUCUUAAAUUUUCAUUAUAAGCAACAUGAUCUAGAGAUCGUAAGUGCAUUUUGUCCACUUGGUUAAAGAGAAUUCCCUUUGUGGGAGGACGACCACCAUCUACUUUAUAAUGCGCAAAAAUUUCACUACCUUCUUUCAUAAUAAAUCUAAACUCAUGUGCUAGAAAUAUAAUGGCAUCGUGCUUAACAGAAGAAUGGUUAAUAUUAGAAAACUCUAGAAAAAUCCUUUGUAUGGACGGAUGCAUAAGAACAAAUUGUAUUUCAAGUUCAACUACGAGCAAAGAUAUAGCAUCCGCAAGACUACUAGUUUUAUGGAGAAUAGACCCACCUAACAUGGGUAACGCACCAGCACAAGUAAAGAAAUCUUGAAUAACCCCUUUCCCAAUAAUAUUGUCGCUACCUAUGCGAAGUUUUUUAGUGUGCAAGAUAGUAGAUUCUUCAUGAGGAUUAGUAUUAGCAAAAGCAUGAAAAUUUCCCCCAUCAUUACUGCUAUCUUUUUCAGUGAUAGUCUCCCCAAUUUCAGACAUGGUGGCAACAAACCAAUCUAGCAAACGAGCAAACCGAAAGAGAACGAAGAAGACGAAUAAAAGAGGGGCGAGGAAAAGGCAAAUCUUUUUGAAAAUCAUUUUAGAAGUGGGGGAAAGGAAAACGAGAGGCGAAUGGCGAAUAAUGUAAUUCAAGAGAUGAGAGUUUAUGAUGGGUACUUGGUAUGUCUUGACUUGGCGUAGAUAUCCCCGGCAAUGGUGCCAAAAAUUCUUCCUGCUACUUCUUGAGCUUGCGUUGGUUUUUCCCUUGAAGAGGAAAGGGUGCACUACUAGGGAAAACCUUAUACAUAGAACUUUAGCAGUAGCGAGGGUCAAAAAAGCACGCUGGUGCUAAGUAGCAGUAGCGCGCCUGAGAAAACCGCGCUGCAGAUAAAGUUCUAGCAGUAGCGCGUCUUGCUCUAAACACGUUACUACUAAAAUUCCCAUGGCUUAGCCGAUAGGCUACACAUAGUAGUAGCGACCUAUAACGAACGGCGCUACCGCUACUUUAUUUGUAGUAGCGCAUUUUAAUCUAAACUCGCUAUUGUUAAAGGAUAUAAAAUUAAAUGGAAAGAAAAUAGAAAGGUAAUUGAAAAUGAAAGAAAUAGAAUAAGGUGAAAGGAAAAAAAAUAAAAUGUGAAGAAAACUAAAUGAAAAAGGGGAAAAAGAGAAAGGAGUAGCAGUAGCGUGUAUCCCAGAACGUGAUGUAGCUAAUGUAGCAGCAGCGUUCUUCCUGGAACGCGCUACUGCUACUUCUGACUUAACCACGGGGUUCGUCCUUCCCCACGGCCACUUCCCCCAAAUCCAACUCUCCACUCUCGCCGUUGUCGUCGCCCGUCGGCCGCNNNNNNNNNNNNNNNNNNNNNNNNNNNNNNNNNNNNNNNNNNNNNNNNNNNNNNNNNNNNNNNNNNNNNNNNNNNNNNNNNNNNNNNNNNNNNNNNNNNNNNNNNNNNNNNNNNNNNNNNNNNNNNNNNNNNNNNNNNNNNNNNNNNNNNNNNNNNNNNNNNNNNNNNNNNNNNNNNNNNNNNNNNNNNNNNNNNNNNNNNNNNNNNNNNNNNNNNNNNNNNNNNNNNNNNNNNNNNNNNNNNNNNNNNNNNNNNNNNNNNNNNNNNNNNNNNNNNNNNNNNNNNNNNNNNNNNNNNNNNNNNNNNNNNNNNNNNNNNNNNNNNNNNNNNNNNNNNNNNNNNNNNNNNNNNNNNNNNNNNNNNNNNNNNNNNNNNNNNNNNNNNNNNNNNGAUCUCGACGCCGCCAUCCGUCGCGCGCCCGAGCCCUGACCCUGACCUCGACGCCGCCCUGCCCCUCCCUCGUCGCAGGCACUCGAGGUGAGCACGCCUGCUCCUCCCUCUCCCCUACCUCUGCCUAGGGUUUCUUUAUAUUUUAGGUUCAUCAAAUUAGUUAGGGUUCAUGUAAGAGUGGAAACAAAUCAGAUGCGGAUGCGGCUCAAAUGAGUUAGGGUUCAUGUAAGGGUGGAAACGAAUCAAAUUUUUAAGAUGAAUCAUAAAACAAGUAAAAUUUGACCACUUAUUUCACUUUAUAGUUGGAUAAUUGGAAUAUCCGCUACCACUUUCCACCCCUAUAGGUUCAUCAAAUUAGAUGGUAAUUAGGGCAGUAGUUCCAAGGUACUAAUUAGUUAGUAAGAACUAGGUACAAAUUAGGUACUAGAAUAUUUUUAUUUAUAGUAAGUUUAUUUUUAGUAAGAACUAGUUGAAUUAAUAGAACUAGUUAGUAAGAACUUGUUGCUAUAUUUUAGUUAAAGCAAUUUUUCCCACCUCGACGUGGACGAUUCCUAUCCCGCAUCCUCGUCGUCGAGUCGGCGGAGGACAACACCUGCUUGACCAGGUGGGCCAUGUCCGGGACUGGGCUCCGCCGGGGUGGUACUGGGAGGCGCUACCUACCGGGGAGCGCAGGUUGGUGAGGAGCCAGCCUGUCGUUGACCCGAAACUUCUUUGGUGGCGGUCGCGUGGGCCAGUGAUGGUACAGAGGCUCGAGGACUCCGCGGAGGUGGUGCGUCACCGUGUCAGUGAGGAGGACGCGCAUGUCCGUCGCUACUUGUUUGCGUUGGAGCACAGGUUCUCCAAUACCUGGCAGGUUCUCCAGGGAUCUCACUGGAGCUAUGAUCCCAUGAUGGUUCCUUCUCUGCGGGUGUCCACCGGCCGCGCCGAUACCCGUUGUGUGCUAGGGUUUUAGUUGUAUUAGUGAUGUUAUAUGUAUGAAACUAUUCGUGAUGUAUUAGUGAUAAUAUUCGACAAUGUACUGACGCAUGAGAUGAUUUACUUUUGCUUAUUGAAUGCAUGCUAAUUUGAGUCCUAUAAGAUAUUUUGAAAUGUAUAUCUUGUGUUGCUGAAUAUCCAAGUGGCCGGUCAUGUUUGCAGGUUACACCUCCGAGUGGCCUAUGUUUUGCCGAAGUGUUGAUUCAUUUUUGUUCCGGCAAAUUUCAGGCGCUCGAUAUGUCCUAUUUUAGCAAAGGUCAUGCCGGAUUUUUUCGUGAAUUUUGGCAUGACUUGUGCCAGAAUAUGUAGGAAAUAUCGAGUGCCCCGGAUUUGUGUGUUGAGUAUCCUGGUAGUUGUCUUCCAUCGAUUUUCAAUUAAUGUUUUAACUAUGAACAUAGGAAAUGUCUGACGACGAAUAGGAUUUCGGUAUUUGCAAAUACUGCGAAGACGAGCGCGGCCUGUGUGACGGAAUCUUCCUAGAUGAUGAUAGGCGCUUCAGCAUCAAGCUGGAUGAGAACUUCGAAGUGGAUACAAUAAGUCACAACGACAAGUCUUUUUCGUAAUUAAGCAUGACAUGUGCUUCAUUUGCUUCAACUUAUAAUUUAAGCAUGACAUUAAGCAUGACAAGUCUUUUUUUACUAUUCUACUAGCGUAUCCCCUGCCAUGCAGGAGUUUUUGUAUUGGAUAAGAUAGGUUUCAGUCAUACUAUGGAGGAAAAGAAAUUUUACUUGAAGACCGAGCAUGGUUAUAUUUUCAACGUAAAAUUAUACAAUUUAGAUGACUACACCUAUUUUGGAUGCAAAACAUGGCGAGCACUAUGCAAGACUUAUGCAUUUGAACCUGAUAUGGUUAUCACCUUUGAUAUUCGUCCAGAAGAUGAUAUUGAAGGUAAUACCGACAUCUGGGUCGAUGUGCAAACGCCUCUAGUUAUACCAUUAUGUAAGUUUCUCAACCAUAUUUAUGUCUUUGAUAUUGUUUAUUCAAAAAUAGUUGACAACAAAUUUGUAUAGUCAGCUUAUUUCGGUGCAAGCAAACAUGUCCAGCGCUUGAUAGAAAGGACCGUAUACUAUGCCGGGGCUGAACUCAAUUGCGAGGAGCUCAGUCUAUGUUUCAUGGCUUGAGGAUCUUGAUACUGUCAAGACAAAUUUUCUUCCUGCAUUUAGAAAUGUUAGUACUGAAAACGUGUGACCAAUAGUGUUCGUAAUGAACUACGGUCACAUCUAUUUAGGAAGGAUGGUAAGAUUUUUACUAUUUGUCCUCAGUGCAUCUUUUCCAUACAUUAUUUUUGAAGCUAAACUUCAUUGCUAAGUAUGUUACCAUACGAUGUUUUUCAACAGGGACUCCCGAUGAAUGGUGUGCCUUAUGGGAUCGAGACUAAAGGUACCAUGAGUAUUAUCAGCUUACGGCCAAGAUAUCCUACAGAUUACUUUAGUGCAUUCAAUAUUAGCGAUGGAUGCUUAAUAGUGCAAGACUGGACCAAAUAUGUGAUGGGGGAGCGCAGAGAAGUACUAGGGGGCAGCAAACAGAUGCGCUACCCACGAUUAGGAGACAGGUUCAUCUGCAUGCCCCAACUUGAUCAAGGAGGAGAGCUAUACAUGUUUUAUGUUAUUUUACCUAAGAGAGAGCGGCAGGAGUGAUUAGCUAGCUAGAAAUGAGUUUGAGGAUGAUGAUGUGCUACACUAUUACUAUGAUGAUAAAAUAGCUAGUGUUGGUGGUAAUGACUAUGAUGAUUAUUAUUAGGUAGUGCUAGUGGUGAUUAAAUAAAUACUGUUGGUGGUAAUGACUAUGAUGAUGAUUAAAUAGCUUGUGCUGGCGGAUUAGAUUCAAGUGGAGGCAACAUGUGGUGCACAUCGAAAGUACUACUAGUCCAAACUAGAUCAAGUUUGGAUUAGUAGUAUACUUUUGACAUGCACCACAUAUUGCCUCCACUUGAACCUAAUCCACCUCCAUUUGACACACUGUUAUGGACAUAAUGAUGUUAAUCUCAUAACUGGUAUUGUACCAAUAUUUGUACGAUGGCGCAUAAAUACACUAAAAAUAAAAAAGAAUAAAAAAAGAAUACUAGUAGCGAUGGAGAGAAAACACGCUGCCAGUAGUUACAUUAGCAGUAGCGUGGGAGUGAACAAAUGAUGCAGCUAUUUGUCCUAGCAGUAGCGCGUGCGGGCACGCGUUACUGCUAAGCAAUAGCUGUAGCACCUUAUUAGUAGCGCGCCUACCCGCGCUACUAGUGAGCACAAAACCAGCGCUACUACUAGGGUUUUCCUUAGUAGUGGUGAUGCAGCAAAGUACAGAUAAGUAUUUCCCUCGGUUUGAGAACCAAUGUAUCAAUCCAGUAGGAGACAACGCACAAAUCACCGAAUACCUGCACAAACAAUCAAACAAACUUGCACCCAACGAGAUAAAGGGGUUGUCAAUCCCAUCACGGUUACUUGCAAAAGUGAGAUCUGAUAGAGAUAGAUAAACGAUAAAGUGAAUAUUUUUGGUAUUUUUGGUUCAUAGAUCAGAAAGUAAAAGAUCGCAAGAAUAGUAGAUCGGAAACUACUAUUGUAGAUCAGAAACUUGUAUGAUGGAAAAUAGACCCGGGGGGCAUAGGUUUCAUUAGAGGCUUCUCUCAAGAUAGCAAAUAAUAUGGUGGGUGACCAAAUUACUGCCGAGCAAUUAAUAGAAAAGCGCAAAGUUAUGACGAUAUCUAAGGCAAUGAUCAUGAAUAUAGGCAUCACGUCUGUGUCAAGUAAACCAAAAUGAUUCUGCAUCUACUACUAUUACUCCACACAUCGACCGAUAUCCAGCAUGCAUCUAGAGUAUUUAGUUCAUAAAGAACGGAGUAAUUGAUGUCUGCUAGAACUACGUCGGUAUUUCCCCAAAGAGUAAGGAAUGAUGCAGUAUAGCGACGGUAGGUAUUUCCCUCAGUGAUGAGACCAAGGUUAUAGAACCAGUAGGAGAACCUCCUCACACCAUGUAAACAUCACCUGCACACAAAUAACAAAUACUCGCAACCUGAUGUGUUAAAGGGGUUGUCAAUCCCUUUCGGGUAUGGCGCCUCAAGAUAGGCAAAUAACGUGAGGUAAAAGUGGUAGAUAGGAUAAAUAGAUCGCGGAACAAAUAAAUUGCAGCAAGGUAUUUUUGUAUUUUUGGUUUAAUAGAUCUGAAAAUAAAUGCAAAGGAAAAUAGACCCGGGGGUCGUAGGUUUCACUAGUGGCCUCUCUCGAGAAAAAUAGCAAACGGUGGGAAAACAAUUACUGUUGGGCAAUUGAUAGAACUUCAAAUAAUCAUGACGAUAUCCAGGCAAUGAUUAUUAUAUAGGCAUCAUGUCCAAGAUUAGUAGACCGACUCCUGCCUGCAUCUACUACUAUUACUCCACACAUCGACCGCUAUUCAGCAUGCAUCUAGUGCAUUAAGUUCAUGGGAAAAUAGAGUAAUGCAAUAAGAACGAUGACAUGAUGUAGACAAGAUUCGUUUAUCUAUUGCGAAGAUCUGGAUCCCAUCUUGUUAUCCUUAGUAGCAAUGAUACAUACAUGUCGGUUCCCCUUUGUCAAUGGGAUCAAGCAUCGUAAGAUCGAACCCACUACAAAGCACCUCUUCCCAUUGCAAGAUAAAUAGAUCAAGUUGGCCAAACAAAACCCAAAUACCAGAGAAGAAAUACAAGGCUAUAAGCAAUCAUGCAUAUAAGAGAAUAAAGGAGACUCAAAUAAGUUUCAUGGAUAAAAAUAUAGAUCUGAUCAUAAACUCAAAGUUCAUCGAAUCCCAACAAACACACCGCAAAAAGACUUACAUCAUAUGGAUCUCCAAGAGACCAUUGUAUUGAUAAUCAAGAGAGAGAGAGAGAGAGGAAGCCAUCAAGCUACUAACUAUGGACCCGUAGGUCUACAAAGAACUACUCACGCAUCAUCAGAGAGGCGCCAAUGGAAGUGGUGAACCCCUCCAUGAUGGUGUCUAGAUUGGAUCUGGUGGUUCUAGAAUCUGCGGCGGCUGGAAUUGAUUUUCGUCGAUUCCCCUAGCGUUUCUGGAUUAUUGGCGUAUUUAUAGAGCAAAGAGGCGGUUCUGGGGGCACCCGAGGUGGGCACAACCCACCAGGGCGUGUCUGGGCCUCCUGGCGCGCCCUUGUGGGCGCUCUCCCCUCGAGCCACCCCCCAGGUGCUUCCUUGGCCCACUGGAUGUCCUCUAUCCCAAAAAAUCACACAGCAGUUUCGCUGUGUUUGGACUCCGUUUGAUAUUGAUUUCCUACGAUGUAAAAAACAUGCAGAAAACAGCAACUGGCAUUGGGCACUAUGCCAAUAGGUUAGUACCAAAAAAUGAUAUAAAAUGACUAUAAAAUGAUUGUAAAACAUCCAAGAAUGAUAAAAUAACAGCAUGGAACAAUCAAAAAUUAUAGAUACGUUGGAGACGUAUCUGUCACAUCCCUAGUUCUGGUAUGACCUAGGCUAGCUAGUCAUUUGUGCAUCAUGUUUAAAUUCCAUUUAAAUUUGAAAUGACGAUUUGUGAAACCCUCAGAAUCAUUUUUGGAAAUGACCCAAAUAAAAAUUGCUCCAAAAAGGUCCAAGAAAAUGCUCAUGUUGCUCUCUGAAAAUAUUGGACAGAGAUAAAAAUCAAACCAAUAUUUUUAAGAGCCCAUAAGUAUUUAUUUUGGGCAUUUGGAAUUAAUGUAUAAAUAUUUGCAUUGGAUAUAUAUUUGUUAUAUAUAUAAUAUAUGUCCAAAAAUUAUGCCAUUUGUUGAGGAACUCUGGUAUAAUACCACUAGUUCCUACAAAAAUUGGCAUAAGUAAAUAAAAUGAUUUAGUAUUUUUAUUAAAUCAAAGAAAAAUGUCAGAAAAUAGAAAAAGAAAUAGGAAAAAGGGAGCUUACCUGGCGCUUACCUCCGUGUGCAGCCCAGAGGCCCAGCUGUGCGGCCCAGCUGGCCAGCCCGCCUCCUCCUCUAUCUUCUUCCUCGCGCAUACUGGCACCGUGUGUGUCGCGCGCGCGCUCGCCCGUGGCCACGUCUAACGCCACCUCCUGCUUCCCCUCCUCGUCGUUUGGAUGCCCCACGCGAUGCCACGCACCGCCCCGUACCCCUCUCGCUCUCCCGUGCCCACUGCUCUCCUCUCCCUCGCUCUCUCACAUGACGCCAAACACCACCCUCGCCGCCGCUCGCCGUUACCGUAGCCACCGUCUCUCCCUCGCCUCUCCGACCAGCUCAGAAGCUCCACCACGUCGCCGUCCACCUCUCCAUCGAGCCACGCGACGCGGGAAGCCCUGGAGAGCCGCCAUCGCUUCCGUCUUUGUCUACGGUCGCCCGAGAUCGUCUUCGCCGCCCCGCCGACUCCAGCCUUCUCCGAGCUCUCCGACGACGCCCGCCGGCCCGCUGUGAGCCCCGCUGUCGCCCCCCCCCCCUCCUCUCCUGCCUCCCGUGCGUCGUAGCUGUGCGCCCGCUUGAAGCCGUGCUCUGGCCGCCGCUCCGGUGAGCUCCGGCCACCCCUCCUCCUCCUUCCUGCCCCACCAGAUGCGUGAGAGCCCGGGCUACGCCCCGGUGCCCUUAGCCGCCGCCCCUGUGGUCUGUAACGCGGACACCGCCGUGUCCCGUGGUCGCCGGCAAUGACCUCGCCGGCCUGACAGGUGGACCCCGCCGUUAGGUGAUUAGCUUAAGCUAAUCACCGACUAAUUUAACCCCUGACGCUGACAUGUGGGCCCCAGUGCCCCCUAAUCUUUAAUUAAGCUAAACUAACCCCCUGUUUAACCCGUGUCACUGACGUGUGGCCCCUACACGUCAGGUUUGACCAGUCAGCGUUGUUGACUUGCUGACGCAAUCAUGAUGCAGUGCUGACGCAAUUAUUUAUUUUCUGGAUUUAAAUUUAAUCAGGAAAUUCCAGAAAGUUAGCAAAACUUCAAAAAAUCAUAGAAAUUCAACCAUAACUCAGAUUGAAAUAAUUUAUAUAUGAAAAAUUAUCAGAAAAAUGCAAUCUUUCCAUCUGUACUAGUUUCAUGCAUGACAACCCAAUCUAAACCUGCUGUAUGGGUGAAAACAUGUUAAUGGCAUUUAUAAAGGGCUUAUUUUGGAGGUGCAUUUGAAUAUUUGGUUCAAAUGGAUUUCACCCAAAUAAAAGCUAGUUGCAUUAGCUUAAUUAGCAUCACAUCUACAUGCCAUGUUCAUGCAUCAUAUUGUUUCAUAUGCUUGUGUAUUGAUUGGCGACACCGUUCCUUCUCGAUAGGUCCUGCUCCGGAGACCGUUCCAGAGUACCUGUCUGAGGAGCAAUGCCUUCCUUGUUGAUCUACCAGGCAAGCAAACCCCCUUGUUCAUUACAAUACAAUCCUACUCUCUUGAUCCUGCUCUCAGUUAUUGCAUUAGGACAACAACGAUUCAACUGCUAUUUUGUGUUGCGGUAGUUGAACCCAUUCCUCUGCAUGACCUGUCAUUGCCACAGUAAAUAGUUGAAACCCACUAGCAUGUGUAGGAGUUGAUUGAAGCCAUGUUGUGUUCCUACCAUGCCAUGCCUGCUAUUGCUUAGAGUUGUGUCAGGUCUGAUUCAUUGGGAAUGAAUUGGAGUGUUAUGAUAUGAUCUGGUGCUGAGAGUUAAGUGUGUGAACACGAUUUGGUAAAGGUAGCGGUGAGAGGCCAUGUGGGAGUACAUGGUGGGUUGUCUCACUGGAACCGUCCUUAAGCACUGAGUUCUGUGUAUGUUAUCCAAUGACUAGCUACUACCACACAUUGGAAUGCUUAAGUGCCCUUUCGACUUAUUAACCAACUUGAUCUCUGUCCAGGAGUUGCAACUAGUUUCUGGUGUUUGUAGGUAGUGUUAGUAGUCUACCAAGUGGCACCCGGCCAGGUGGGCUUGGGACAGACUAGGCACAAGUGGCACGGUGUACCAAGCGUAGAUCCAUCCGGCGAGGUGGGCUUGGGAACCCUGCACACAUCGUUUGGGGCCGUGAGUGAAACCCCGGCCGGAUCUCCUUGCGGUUGGAACCCGAAUAGGCGAUGAACCUGGGCUAGAGUCUUGUGUGGUUAGUCAGGUCGUGGCCGACACCCUCGCCGGGCUUCCGCUUGAAGGUUGCCGAGUUACAUGACGUGUACAUGGCGGUAAGUGGCGAGAGCGUUUGUGAAGAAGUACACCCCUGCAGGGUUAACAUGAUCUAUUCGAAUAGCCGGGUCCGCGGUUAUGGACUUCUUGGAUGCUUACAUGGUACAUAGAUAACUUGAAGUGGAUACUAUAAAAUGCUCAAGACAAGUGUGAGUGCUAUGAAUGGCCUUCUCGUAAGGAGACGGGAAUGAAUCCAUAGUAGUGUAUUGUGUGGUGAUUAGUGGACUGGUGUGCGCCAUGUCACCUCAAGAAGUUCUGGUAGUCGUAGAACAGGAUAGCCACAGAGUCAAAGCUGGCUUGCUGCAACCAAACCCCACAUUACCCUCUUGAUACAAAUGCAUGUAUGAUAGGAUCUGAUGUAAGUCUUGCUGAGUACCUUUGUACUCAUGUUGCUUUAUUUAUGCUUUUGCAGCAGAGACUUCGGUCUUACUAGUGUCUUUAUGGACUUCGACAAGUAGCUUGUACCUCAGCUACGAUCUUGAUCGGAUGUUGUAGAUAGUCAGGCUCUUCACCCUUUUUCAUUUGUAGAUGUCUGUACUCAGACAUGUAAUGCUUCCGCUUGUUGCUUGUUUGCUUUGAAUGUUGGGUCAUGUGACCCCUGCUUGUAAUAAUGCUAUGAUGGCUCUUUGAGCCUUAUCUAUAUGAGUUGUUGAUUUAUGUUGUGAUGCCAUGUUGUACAACACAUACUUGCAUGUUAUGCGUACGUCUAAUGUGUAUUGCUAUGUGUGGGAUCUGACUAUCUAGUUGUUUAUCCUUAGUAGCCUCUCUUACCGGGAAAUGUCUCCUAGUGCUCCCAGUGAGCCCUGGUAGCUUGCUACUGCUCCGGAACACUUAGGCUGGCCGGCAUAUGUCCUUCUUCGAUCCUGUGUCUGUCCCUUCGGGGAAAUGUCACGCGGUGUCUAUCAGAGUCCUGUUAGCCUGCUACAGCCCGGUUUACCGGAGUCCUGCUAGCCCAGUUGCUACAGCCCGGAUUCACUCGCUGAUGACCGACACGUUCGAUGCUGGGUCAUGUAUGCCUGUCCCUGUAAGUUAGUGCCACUUUGGGUUCACGACUAGCCAUGUCAGCCCGGGUUCCUUGUCAUAUGGAUGCUAGCGACACUAUCAUAUACGAGUGCUAAAAGACGCAAACGGUCCCGGGCAUGGUAAGGCGACACCCGUGGGAAUACCGUGCGUGAGGCCGCAAAGUGAUAUGAGGUGUUACAUGCUAGAUCGGUGUGGCAUAGAAUCGGGGUCCUGACAGCUUUGGUAUCAGAGCCUGACUGCCUGUAGGAUUACCAAGCCAAACUGGUCGAAGUUGAGUCUAGAAAUUCUUUAGUUAUGUAAGGGAAUUGAUUGUGGGAAGGAACGUAAGGCUCUUUUUACUCCUUAUACCUCAUGGCCUUCUGAUCUGAGUCAUCCUAUCUUUCCUACGGGGUUAAGGAACUAGGCUUUCUCUUCUGUCUAUCAGGAUCACGUGUUACUACUCCGUAGUCCCAUAGGAUUUGUUGAUCAGAGUCAUACCUCAGUUUUCGAGUA
rnacentral:lncRNA from 1 species